rnacentral:rRNA from 1 species
UGCCGCGUGAAGGAUGACUGCCCUAUGGGUUGUAAACUUCUUUUAUAGAGGAAGAAACCUUUCUACGUGUAGAAAGCUGACGGUACUCUACGAAUAAGGACCGGCUAACUCCGUGCCAGCAGCCGCGGUAAUACGGAGGGUCCAAGCGUUAUCCGGAUUUAUUGGGUUUAAAGGGUCCGUAGGCGGGGUUUUAAGUCAGUGGUGAAAGCCUACAGCUCAACUGUAGAACUGCCAUUGAAACUGGAACUCUUGAAUGUGAUUGAAGUGGGCGGAAUAUGUCAUGUAGCGGUGAAAUGCUUAGAUAUGACAUAGAACACCGAUAGCGAAGGCAGCUCACUAAGUCAUGAUUGACGCUGAUGGACGAAAGCGUGGGGAGCGAACAGGAUUAGAUACCCUGGUAGUCCACGCCGUAAACGAUGAUCACUAGCUAUUGGCGAUACACAGUCAGUGGCACAGCGAAAGUGUUAAGUGAUCCACCUGGGGAGUACGAUCGCAAGGUUG